UGGGGAAUAUUGGACAAUGGGCGAAAGCCUGAUCCAGCCAUGCCGCGUGUGUGAAGAAGGUCUUCGGAUUGUAAAGCACUUUAAGUUGGGAGGAAGGGCAGUAAGCGAAUACCUUGCUGUUUUGACGUUACCGACAGAAUAAGCACCGGCUAACUCUGUGCCAGCAGCCGCGGUAAUACAGAGGGUGCAAGCGUUAAUCGGAAUUACUGGGCGUAAAGCGCGCGUAGGUGGUUCGUUAAGUUGAAUGUGAAAGCCCCGGGCUCAACCUGGGAACUGCAUCCAAAACUGGCGAGCUAGAGUAGGGCAGAGGGUGGUGGAAUUUCCUGUGUAGCGGUGAAAUGCGUCGAUAUAGGAAGGAACACCAGUGGCGAAGGCGACCACCUGGGCUCAUACUGACACUGAGGUGCGAAAGCGUGGGGAGCAAACAGG
rnacentral:rRNA from 1 species